rnacentral:rRNA from 1 species
UACGAAGGGGGCUAGCGUUGUUCGGAAUUACUGGGCGUAAAGCGCACGUAGGCGGAUAUUUAAGUCAGGGGUGAAAUCCUGGAGCUCAACUCCAGAACUGCCUUUGAUACUGAAGAUCUUGAGUUCGGGAGAGGUGAGUGGAACUGCGAGUGUAGAGGUGAAAUUCGUAGAUAUUCGCAAGAACACCAGUGGCGAAGGCGGCUCACUGGCCCGAUACUGACGCUGAGGCACGAAAGCGUGGGGAGCGAACAGG